AGAUUGAACGCUGGCGGCAUGCCUAACACAUGCAAGUCGAACGGGAGUAGCAAUACUCUAGUGGCGGACGGGUGAGGAAUACGUAGGAAUUUGCCCUUAAGUGGGGGAUAACCCGGGGAAACCCGGAUUAAUACCGCAUGACCUCGAAAGAGCAAAGUGGGGGAUCGCAAGACCUCACGCUUUUGGAGAAGCCUACGUCGGAUUAGCUAGUUGGUGAGGUAAUGGCUCACCAAAGGCGACGAUCCGUAACUGGUCUGAGAGGAUGAUCAGUCACACCGGAACUGAGACACGGUCCGGACUCCUACGGGAGGCAGCAGUGGGGAAUAUUGGACAAUGGGCGCAAGCCUGAUCCAGCAAUGCCGCGUGUGUGAAGAAGGCCUGGUGUAAGUAGCUUAACGUUGGUAAGAAAACGAACGACACUAACAACACGUAGAGACUUGUACGGUACCGUAAC
rnacentral:rRNA from 1 species